CUUGCAGCAAGGGGCAAAGAACCGCUGAGAAACUUGCUAAAGAAAACUAUUCCUUACAUAAUGAAAUUCAAGAUAUCAUGCAGGAAAAUGCUCAUUUAAAUGUGACAA